UACGGAGGGUGCAAACGUUGCUCGGAAUCAUUGGGCGUAAAGCGCACGUAGGCGGCGAAGCAAGUCGGGUGUGAAAGCCCUGGGCUCAACCCAGGAAGUGCAUUCGAAACUAUUUCGCUUGAAUCUCGGAGGGGGUCAGAGAAUUCCCGGUGUAGAGGUGAAAUUCGUAGAUAUCGGGAGGAAUACCAGUGGCGAAGGCGCUGACCUGGACGAAGAUUGACGCUGAGGUGCGAAAGCGCGGGGAGCAAACAGGAUUAGAAACCCCUGUAGU
rnacentral:rRNA from 1 species